rnacentral:rRNA from 1 species
UACGGGGGGGGCAAGCGUUGUUCGGAAUUACUGGGCGUAAAGGGCGCGUAGGCGGCCUGCUAAGUCACACGUGAAAUCCCUCGGCUCAACCGGGGAACUGCGUGUGAUACUGGCGGGCUUGAAUUCGGGAGAGGGAUGUGGAAUUCCAGGUGUAGCGGUGAAAUGCGUAGAUAUCUGGAGGAACACCGGUGGCGAAGGCGGCGAGCUGGUCCGUACCUGACGCUGAGGCGCGACAGCGUGGGGAGCAAACAGG